rnacentral:rRNA from 1 species
GCAUAACACAUGCAAGUCGAGCGAGGGCUCUUCUCCCGCAAGGGAGGGGAGUUCCUAGCGGCGAACGGGUGAGUAACACGUGAGCAACCUGUCCCGUAGCGGGGGAUAACACCGGGAAACCGGUGCUAAUACCGCAUGUCAUCGCCGGUCGCAUGGCCGGUGAGAAAAGCAGCAAUGCACUGCGGGGUGGGCUCGGGGCCUAUCAGCUAGUAGGUGGGGUAACGGCCUACCUCGGCUUUGACGGGUAGCUGGUCUGAGAGGACGGCCAGCCACACGGGGACUGAGACACGGGCCCGACUCCUACGGGGGGCAGCAGUGAGGAAUCUUCCGCAAUGGGCGAAAGCCUGACGGAGCGACGCCGCGUGUGGGAUGAAGUCUCUCGGGAUGUAAACCACUGUUCUAGAGGGAAGAGAACGGACGGUACCUCUAGAGAAAGCCCCGGCUAACUACGUGCCAGCCGCCGCCGUAA